GUGACAUAUUAACAACAUUUAUAUUGUUAUAGAAGAUAAGGUCCCAGGACGUGGAUGUUCCUGCAAAGCAAUAGCUAGACUAUCAAGUGUUGUAGUUUUGUUGCAUAUUUCUAUAGCAGCAAAAGACAACUAAUUGUUUGUAAAGCCUUUUGGAUUAAAGAUGUCCCCAAGACAAAUUUUAAUUCUGUUAAUUAUUGGAAUUUAUUGCAAAAUUUCACAGGAACAUGUUUUAAAGCGCAAACAAAUUAAGGUCAGGCAACCUCCAGUCGACUUUAUCAUCAUUGGUGUAUAUGACCAGUUGUGCAGUUACUACAAGCAGCUAUGUGACUGCGCAAGGAUUCGACAAUUUUGUGUUGAUCCAUCUUGCUGCGAGCCAUCACCAUUGGCUGUCAUGAGAAUGAUUGGCCAGAUGAUAGAGGAGGAUGACGACUGAUCUAUUUUUCAGAUUACCUGCUUUCUGUAGACGACAUACUUCAGUCACCUGCUUUAGGAAGUAGCCAUUCAUACUACAAUCACCUGCUUUAUGAAGUAGACAUACAUACUACCAUCACCUGCUUUAUGGAGUGGGCAUACAUACCACAACCGCCUGCAUUAUGUACAUAUCCAAUACACUCACUAUAUUUAUGUUAAAGUCAUAAUUAAAUAAAAUAUCUAUAUAUCUUA